rnacentral:rRNA from 1 species
AACGAACGCUGGCGGCAUGCCUAACACAUGCAAGUCGAACGAGACCUUCGGGUCUAGUGGCGCACGGGUGCGUAACGCGUGGGAACCUGCCCUUAGGUUCGGAAUAACUCCCCGAAAGGGGUGCUAAUACCGGAUAAUGUCUUCGGACCAAAGAUUUAUCGCCUUUGGAUGGGCCCGCGUUGGAUUAGCUAGUUGGUAGGGUAAAAGCCUACCAAGGCGACGAUCCAUAGCUGGUCUGAGAGGAUGAUCAGCCACACUGGGACUGAGACACGGCCCAGACUCCUUCGGGAAGCAGGAGUGGGGAAUAUUAGACAAUGGGCGAAAGCCUGAUCCAGCAAUGCCGCGUGAGUGAUGAAGGCCUUAGGGUUGUAAAGCUCUUUUACCCGGGAUGAUAAUGACAGUACCGGGAGAAUAAGCGCCGGCUAACUCCGUG